AUUGAACGCUAGCGGUAUGCCUAAUACAUGCAAGUCGAACGCAGUGGGGACGGGUGAGUAACACGUGGUUAACCUCCCAUCAGAGGGGAUAACACUUGGCAACAGGUGCUAAACCGAUACGUGUGGAUGGACUAGCGGUGCAUUAGCUAGUUGGUGCUGUAACGGCUCACCAAGGCCACGAUGCAUAGCGGACCUGAGAGGUUGAUAGGCCACACUGGGACUGAGACACGGCCCAGACUCCUACGGGAGGCAGCAGUAGGGAAUCUUGUACAAUGGACGAAAGUCUGACCGAGCAACGCCGCGUGAGUGAAGAAGGUUUUCGGAUCGUAAAACACUGUCGGUAGAGAAGCGGUAUCUAACCAGAAAGCCACGGCUAACUACGUGCCAGCAGCCGCGGUAAUAC
rnacentral:rRNA from 1 species